GACGUAGGGCGCGAGCGUUGUCCGGAUUUAUUGGGCGUAAAGAGCUCGUAGGCGGUCUGUCGCGUCGGCUGUGAAAUCCCGAGGCUCAACCUCGGGUCUGCAGUCGAUACGGGCAAACUAGAGUAUUGCAGGGGAGACUGGAAUUCCUGGUGUAGCGGUGAAAUGCGCAGAUAUCAGGAGGAACACCGAUGGCGAAGGCAGGUCUCUGGGCCGAUACUGACGCUGAGGAGCGAAAGCGUGGGGAGCGAACAGG
rnacentral:rRNA from 1 species